rnacentral:lncRNA from 1 species
UGCAAGGGAAAGAAUUCAGAGUAAAUAAACAGUCUUUUUCUGGGAAGUAAAGUAUUUCCCUAAGAUGGAGAAAUUGAGAUGAGAGCUCAUCCACAAGAUUACCCAUCAAUGAGCACCAAUAGCAACCAAAUCCACUAGAAGACUGGGAGCUUUUAAGUCAAGACACUUACAUCAGUAUCAUCAUUCCAAGAAGCGGUAUCCAAGUUGUUUUAUCAAAAGUGUGCAUGGGAGAUGGUGCUAUGAGUGGGGAGUGAGUCAAAAACUCCGCUGCGUUCACAAAAGGCUAUUCAAAUGUCCAAAGCAUCUAUGGGGAAUGGAGAAUAGUUGGAGGAUCUUUCUCCAGAAUCCUUCUGUUCUGUAGUACAAGUAUUACUCAUUAUAGACUAGCACGAAAAAUCAAGUGAAAUGCGAACUUAAGAGUUUAAAAAGAAUAAAUGGUGCUUUUCUGGCCUAUUAGUAAGAAAUUAAAUAAAAAUAAUUUUAAUUUGUAAGUAAUGAAUGCUAAUCUACAUUGUAUUAAUUGGGCUUAACCAGAGAGUUUUUGUUUACAUACAUUAGGCAAACAAACAAUAGGAAUGAGGAUUUUUAAUAAAGAAGGAAGCCAGAAACACACACACAAGCACACACACACACACACACACACACACACACCAAGUAAGAGAAUACUAAAAGAUCAGAGAAAAUGUAAUUAUACUUAUCAAAAAUGUUUUAAUGCAGUGGCCUAUUAGUUUCAGAAUAUAAAAUUUAUUUGAUUUGUUGAGCAACUUGGAGCUUAUUUUUUAAUCCUUUCAGAUAAUAGGAACUUGAAACAUACUUGGCCGUGUAUAAGAUAUAUGUGAUAUUAGAAAAUCAUAUAUAUCUGUUAAUAUAUAUUCAAAUAUAUUACUAAGCAAAAAUAUAUUUACAUGUUUAUAUCAAUGAUGCAAUUAAUAAAUGUUUUCACAUCCUGUGUCUCAAUUUAUCCUCAUAUAAAACAAGUGAGUUACUUAUUCUUUAACUUCUCUAGGCAAAUUUCAAAUAUUUUCUGAAUAUAACUACAGAAUGCUUGGUUUGUGUCUCUAUGAAAGGUCUUAACACACUCCUGCAAUGAAUUAUAUGCAUAUGGCUCUCCCAUACUGGGAAUGCCUAGAGGAGAGAAACUGUCUUCUUACCAUAUUUGUAUCUAUGGUUCAUGCCUGCUCCACAUAGACCCCUAGGUUUCACUAGAGAGAUCUCAAGACAGUAGGUUUGAAGUAAGAGAAUGGGAGGAUUUAGAGGCGUCUCGACUAUCAGCUUGGCGUCUGGGAAAUGUUUUGCUGUCUGCUUCAUCUCCAGUGCCUUGAACAGUACAUGUUUCUCGGGAGCCCCUGCAAGGUUUGUUGAAGGAGGGCAUACAUCAGGUAUUCCAUAAUUUAGCAACAUUCCAUAAUGUGGCUGCUAGUAAAUGGUUGGUUCAGGAUUUGAACCCAGGUCCUCUGUGUCAUGUUCUAAAUGUUAGGAGAAUAAAUCCCUCCCUUGUCUCAGUGAAGAUUUCCAAGCUGCCCUGGGUUGUUGUGUAUAGGUGUUUAGCUUAUGGGAUGGGACUGGAAGGUGGUGUAGGGACACAAAAGGAAUUAAAACAUGUAAGUUCACCUUGGUUGGCAUUUUCAUUUCUCCUUUGGAUAUCAAGCCUGAACAAUGAUUCUCAAAGAUAUGUAUUAAAUUCAGUAAGGAUUUACUAUUACUGCUCACCUAUUAAGUGCAAGGAACAGUUGUACUUAGUAGGAAUAAAGGGGUAUCUGGCACAAACUAUUCUGCCUGUUUUUUGUUUUUGUUUUUCGUUUGUUUGCUUGUUUGUUUUUUAGACAGAGUCUUGCUCUGUCGCCAGGCUGGAGUGCAGUGGCGCGAUUUUGGUUCAUUGCAACCUCCACUUCCUGGGUUCAAGAGAUUCUCCUGCCUCAGCCUUCCAAGCAGUUGGGACUACAGGCGUGCACCACCAUGCCCAGCUAAUUUUUGUAUUUUUAGUAGAGACAGGGUUUCACCAUGUUGGCCAGGAUGGUCUCAAUCUCUUGACCUCAGGUGAUCCGCCUGCCUCGGCCUCCAAAAGUGCUGGUAUUACAGGCGUGAGCCACCACACCCGGCCUAUUCUGCCUGUUUGUUGACUGCAGUCAUAGUAUGUUCUUGCUCCUCCCUGAGCUACUUUUGCUUUGAAUAAAACCAUGGUGUCAUGGAAAGAACAAAAAGCUCCAGGGUAGGGCACAUGUUUUCAAACUUAUUACAAGAGGGAGCCUGGAUGAGAGUAUCUUAAUAUACCUUUUAGAGCUGAUGUGUCCUUCUCUCCUUGAGAUCCAAUUAAAUUUACUUUCUGUGAGUUACAUGAUAGAAAGUGUUACAUUGUACAUUUUAGCAAUUUCAGCGUAUUCAGAUCAAACAAAAAAAAUUAGUUGAUUUGACUUGCUACAGUUUAUCUCUGCCACCAAAGUAAAUAGCAUGGACUUGAAGGUGCCAUCCCAACUAUUGCCCUGACAUUCCAUCACCUGCAUUUCCCAGAAAUCAGGUGAACGAUAUUUUUCAGUCUUGCUGCAUUUCACCUCUGGAGUGUGUAGACCCAGUCUUAAUGUGCCUAAACCAAAUGAGAUGUGUUAUCCCUUCCAAUGGAACUAAGCACUUUAAAUAACUAAGGAAUUGGAGAGAGAGAGAGAGAGAGAGAGAGAGUUUUCUAAAUUCAGCAAGAAAAAAUAAGGUAGUCGAGUUGUGUUUCAAACCACUUCUAUAAUUGGGAGCUAAACAAAUUUGUGGAGAAAGUACUUGGUCAACUGUAUAAUUUCUUCUACUAUUAACUAUCCAAAACAAACAAUUAAUUAAAAACUAAAUUAACACAGAUAAUGAAGACUAUUUUCUAAAACUGUGAACUUCGGAAAGGGGCGUGCUUUAUGGAUAUCUGUAAAGUCCAUAUUUGGACAACUAUCAGUUUAACUUUUAGUAAUCUAAAAUGCUCAACUUAAACUUCAUUUCCCACUUCUGCCAAAACCAGAAGAAUCAAAAAUACAGUGAAGGGGCAUGAGAUUUCCAGCUCACAUUUCCAAUCUCCAGAGGUUUGAAAAACAUCAUCUAUCUAUUUGAAUGCCUUGGUUGUGAUCCAAAAUGAAUUUGAACUUUAGAUACUUAAGAGUGACCCAUCACUGUUUAAAAGUCCAAAGUGGCCACAGAGAACCCUACGGACCAUUACUUCAUUGUUUAUUCUUGUAAAUUAUAAAUAUUUUUAAAAAUUCCAAAUUAUGAAGUUCGAAGGGGAUAUUUUAUAUCUCUCAGCCACUGUAAUUUUCUUCUUCCCUUCCUUGGGUGUUGGCCAUGUAUCUAUGAGUCCAGUUGGUAAAACAAUCAGUAGCAUUGACAGGAUGAUGUACUCUGGUCCGAAACUACAUUUCUCAGCUUUUUCAGUUCUCAGAAGACAGCGGAAAAUGUACUUAGCAAACUCUAUUAUAAAGGUCCAUGUUGUUCCAAAUAUUUAGUUGUACUUGAAGUAAAAUCAUGACUUCAAAUGCCAAGUGAAAUAAAGCAUAAUUUUCACACUGUA